rnacentral:rRNA from 1 species
CCUACGUGAGGCAGCAGUGGGGAAUAUUGGACAAUGGGCGCAAGCCUGACCCAGCAAUGCCGCUUGCAAGCAGAAGGCUUUCGGAUUGUAAACUUCUGUUACAAGGGACGAGCAGAAGACGGUACCCUGAAAACAAGCCAGUGCUACCUACGUGCCCGCAGCCGCGGUAAUACGUAGGUCGAAAGCGUUGUCCGGCGAUACUGUGUGUAAAGUGCGUGUAGCCGGGCAGGCAAGUGAGAUGUGAAAUCCGGAGGCUCAACCUCCGAAUUGAAUUUGAAACUGUUUUUCUUGAGUACUGGAGAGGCAGACGGAAUUCCUUGUGUAGCGGUGAAAUGCGUAGAUAUAAGGAGGAACACCAGUGGCGAAGGCGGUCUGCUGGACAGCAACUGACGGUGAGGCGCGAAAGCGUGGGGAGCAAACAGGAUUAGAUACCCUGGUAGUC